rnacentral:rRNA from 1 species
CCUACGGGGGCUGCAGUGGGGAAUAUUGGACAAUGGGCGAAAGCCUGAUCCAGCCAUGCCGCGUGUGUGAAGAAGGCCUUCGGGUUGUAAAGCACUUUCAGUGGGGAAGAAAGCCUUGGGGCUAAUACCCUCGAGGAAGGACAUCACCCACAGAAGAAGCACCGGCUAACUCCGUGCCAGCAGCCGCGGUAAUACGGAGGGUGCGAGCGUUAAUCGGAAUUACUGGGCGUAAAGCGCGCGUAGGCGGUCUGAUAAGCCGGUUGUGAAAGCCCCGGGCUCAACCUGGGAACGGCAUCCGGAACUGUCAGGCUAGAGUGCAGGAGAGGAAGGUAGAAUUCCCGGUGUAGCGGUGAAAUGCGUAGAGAUCGGGAGGAAUACCGGUGGCGAAGGCGGCCUUCUGGACUGACACUGACGCUGAGGUGCGAAAGCGUGGGUAGCAAACAGGAUUAGAUACCCGGGUAGUC